GAUAAACGCUGGCGGCGUGCGUUACGCAUGCAAGUCGCACGGUCAGUACUUUCGGGUACUGGUAGUGGCGGACGGGUGAGUAACACGUACGUGACCUGCCCUGUAGCGGGGGAGUAACGGCCCGAAAGGGUUGCUAAUACCGCAUGAGCUUCUCUUUUUGUCGAAGAGGGAAGGAAACCCGCGAGGGGCUACGGGAGGGGCGGUGCGGGGGAGUUAGCUAGUUGGUGGGGUAACGGGCCUACCAAGGCGACGAUCCCUACGCUGGUCNGAGAGGACGGCCAGCCACACGGGGACGUGAGAUACGGCCCCGACUCCUACGGGA
rnacentral:rRNA from 1 species